UACGUAGGGGGCAAGCGUUGUCCGGAUUUAUUGGGCGUAAAAGGCUUGUAGGUGGCCACGCCAAGUCGGAUGUGAAAUCUCCCGGCUCAACUGGGAAGGGUCAUUCGAUACUGGCGGGCUCGAGGCCGGUAGGGGGAAGCGGAAUUCCCGGUGUAGUGGUGGAAUGCGUAGAUAUCGGGAGGAACACCAGUGGCGAAGGCGGCUUCCUGGACCGGUUCUGACACUGAGGAGCGAAAGCGUGGGGAGCGAACAGG
rnacentral:rRNA from 1 species